ensembl:rRNA 5S_rRNA 5S ribosomal RNA
GUCUAUGGCCAUACCACCCUAAACAUGCCCGAUCUCAUCUGAUCUUGGAAGCUAAGCAGGGUUAGCACUUGGAUGGGAGAAAACUUUCAUGCCUGAGGCU